GUGCUUUUUCCGGCAGCUACAGUGUUCCAGUUUUUUCCGGCAGCUCCAGUUUUUAGUUUCCAAUUUUCUAUUCAGUUUCAGCGAGUUUUCAGUUGAUAAUCCAACGAUGUCUUUGGGGCUCGAUGCUUUUAGGUCUAGAAACCCGAGUUCUGGCAGUUCCAGUGUUAUGAUUACCUCAGAACCUUUAAUGGGAGGUUCAAACUACCUAG
rnacentral:lncRNA from 1 species